GCCAGGUGUGAUGGCUCAUGCCUGUAAUCCCAACACUUUGGGAGGCUGAGGCAGGAGGGAUCACUUGAUCCCGGGAAUUUGAGGCUGCAGUGGGCCAUGAUCGCAUCACUGCACUCCAGCCUGGGAGACAGAGUGAUAUCUUGCCUCCA
rnacentral:SRP_RNA from 1 species